ACUCUUUUGAGGCUCUGCAAUCGAAAUGAGUGCAUUUUAAAUCCUUUCACGAGGAUCAACUGGAGGGCAAGUCUGGUGCCAGCAGCCGCGGUAACUCCAGCUCCAGUAGCAUAUAUUAAAGUUGCUGCAGUUAAAAAGCUCGUAGUUGGAUCUGGAUUACGUUCAGUUGAUGUAGUCGGCGUAUGAUGAGGUCUCGGCCGAUUUGUGCGUUUGGUUAUGUCUUCUGGCUAGUCUAAUAGCUGUGUCUAUUCUCAACCUCGGUUGGGUGUAGGCAGGGGUAGAGUGUUAAGGAGAUCCUUGUGGUUGAAUUGCCUCUGCUUCUGUGUGCUGGAGUAUUCUUUAUUGGGUGCUUUAGUGCGGACGGCGCGUUUACUUUGAACAAAUUUGAGUGCUCAAAGCAGGCCUUGUGCCUGAAAAUUCUAGCAUGGAAUAAUGAAAUAGGACUUCGGUCCUAUUUUGUUGGUUUAACAGAACCGAAGUAAUGAUAAACAGAGACAGACGGGGGCAUUUAUAUGGCAGCGCGAGAGGUGAAAUUCGUAGACCGUUGCCAGAUAAUCUAAAGCGAAAGCAUCUGCCAAGUAUGUUUUCAUUUACCAGGAGCGAAAGUCAGAGGUUCGAAGACGAUCAGAUACCGUCCUAGUUCUGACCAUAAACGAUGCCAUCUGAUAUUUCGUGGUGACUCCUUAGGGAUCCCACGAGCAAUCCCCGGAAAACCUCUAAGUCUUUGGGUUCCGGGGAAAGUAUGGUUGCAAUGCUGAAACUUAAAGGAAUUGACGGAAGGGCACCACCAGGAGUGGAGCUUGCGGCUUAAUUUGACUCAACACGGGAAAACUUACCCGGGCCGGACACUAUGAGGAUUGACAGAUAGAUUGCUCUUUCAUGAUUUGGUGGCUAGUGGUGCAUGGCCGUUCUUAGUUCGUGGUAUGAGCUGUCUGGUUAAUUCCGUUAACGAACGAGAUACUAUUCUGCUAAUUAGUCCGUGCGUAUUAUUGUGCGGGUGCUUUAAUCAUCUCGGUGGUUAUUGUCAUCUUCAUGAGCGUGCGUGACUUCUUAGAGAGAUCGGUGGAUAGCCAAACCACAUGAAAAAGUGCAAUAACAGGUCUGUGAUGCCCUUAGAUGUUCGGGGCCGCACGCGUGCUACACUGAUAGUGAGAGAAAGUCUGAUCCCUGUCUUGAAAAAGUUGGGUAAGCUUUUAAUUGCUGUCGUGUCUGGGAUCGGGAUUUGUGACUAUCUCCCGUGAACUAGGAAUUCCUAGUAAGCAGAAUUCAUCAGAUUCUGCUGAAUGCGUCCCUGCCCUUUGUACACACCGCCCGUCGCUACUACCGAUUGAAUGUUUUAGUGAGGACAAUGGAUUGGUCUCUUCGGGUGCAAACCUGGAGCGAUUAAGAAGCUGUCCGAACUUGAUCAUUUAGAGGAAGUACAAGUCGUAACAAGGUUUCCGUAGGUGAACCUGCGGAAG
rnacentral:rRNA from 1 species